GACAGAGGGUGCAAACGUUGUUCGGAAUUACUGGGCGUAAAGCGCGUGUAGGCGGCUAGGUAAGUCAGGCGUGAAAUCCCACGGCUCAACCGUGGAAGUGCGCCUGAUACUGCAUAGCUAGAGUCCUGGAGAGGAAGGUGGAAUGCUUGGUGUAGAGGUGAAAUUCGUAGAUAUCAAGCGGAACACCGGUGGCGAAGGCGGCCUUCUGGACAGUGACUGACGCUGAGACGCGAAAGCGUGGGGAGCAAACAGG
rnacentral:rRNA from 1 species